GUUAAAAUACUUCUAUCAAACAUACCUCCUGAAGCACCAUUAUCUGGUCUAAUUUAAACAGCUAAAAGUGGAAAGCUACUCAAAUCUAAGUAUGGAUUUUUCAGGGCAUCGGCUCACACUGAAGAAUUAAAUACCAUUUAUUCUUUCACAUGAAUUUGAAUAUUUUAUUUUGGAAAACAAACCCUGAUUGACUGGCCACACACACAUACAUACAAGACGUAUCAGGAGUGGGACAUCACGUCAGACAGCAGAAUAAAGAGUGAUGUCUGUUGUCGGGACAUUGAACUGUUAGCAGCGAAUCUUUGACCUUAUUACGUGCUGCGGGAGCUCUCUCGUGCUACCGAGUUUGUGUUUAUAUCCCGCCUUGGGCAGAUGUGCAGGUGGUGUGGGACCUCAUCCACUCCACUGGCACCUUCUAUGUGAUUUCUGGUGAUUUAAUCCUGUUACACUGGAAUCUACCCUGUCUGCCUUUUCCCAGUUUGUGACACCAGGGAAACAGGACCAUAGACCUGCUGUAUGCUAAUGUGAGGGAUGCACACAGGGCUAUCCCACUGCUGGGGAAAUCAGAUGACAAUCUGGUCUUCCUACAGCCUCAGUACAAAUCACUGGUACUGAGGCAGCCCACUACCACACGCUCAUUCAGACUGGUCUCCUAAGGAAGCAGAAGAAGCACUCAAAGAACUGCUAUGACGCCACUGACUGGAGCUUGCUGCUUCAGCCACAUGAAGAGAGAGGACAUUGAGAUGGUGACUCACUGUUACUGACUUCUUGAAUUUCUGUAUGGAUGUUGCUGCUCCCACAAAGACUGUACGCUGCUUCCUAAACAAUAAACCAUGGAUUACUUCCUUCACCCAGGGAAGGCAGCUGGCUCGGACAGAGUGUGCCUCAGUAUGCUCAAGGCAUUUGCUGUUCAACUAGGUGAGCCCCUCCAACAUGUGUUUAACCUGAGUCUGCAUCUUGGGAGGGUUCUUGCCACGUGGAAGACAACCUGCCUCAUUCCAGUUUCCAAGAAGGCACACCCGAAAGAGCUGAAUGACUACAGACCAGUUGCUUAGACAUCUCAUGUGAUGAAGACCUUGAAGCAACUGCUGCUGGACCACCUCAGACCUCAGGUCCACCAUGCUAAGGACCCACUGCAGUUUGCAUACCAUGAUAAGGUGGGAGUGCACAGUGCUCACUCUCACCUGGACAAACGUUCUUCGACUUCUCCAGUGCCUUCAACACAAUCCAGCCCCGACUACUGAGAAACAAGCUGCUGAACAUGGAGUUGGAUAUGCACCUGGUCACCUGGAUCACUGACUACCCUACUGGGAGACAACAGCAUGUCAGGUAAAUGUUCCCCUCAGUUUCCUCAGCGCUCCUGUUCUGAUGGGAAUAGCACUAAACCACACCAGCGCAGGACGACCCAGUGCAGAGUUUUACAUCAGGUGUUCUCUGACGAUGGAGGAGGUGAAGGACUUUUACUGGCGAGGAGGUCCAGAAGCUCAUGAAUCUACUGAUAUAGUGUGUGUGAA